GACGAACCGUGCGAACGUUGUUCGGAAUCACUGGGCAUAAAGGGCGCGUAGGCGGCUUUUCAAGUCAGGGGUGAAAUCCGGCAGCUCAACUGUCGAAGUGCCCUUGAUACUGAUGAGCUCGAGGGAGGUAGGGGUAUGUGGAACUUCCGGUGGAGCGGUGAAAUGCGUUGAUAUCGGAAGGAACGCCGGUGGCGAAAGCGACGUACUGGACCUCUUCUGACGCUGAGGCGCGAAAGCUAGGGGAGCAAACGGG
rnacentral:rRNA from 3 species